rnacentral:rRNA from 1 species
AAUCAACGCUGGCGGCGUGCCUCAGACAUGCAAGUCGAACGCGAAAGUCCCCUUCGGGGGGCGAGUAGAGUGGCGCACGGGUGAGUAACACGUAGGUAAUCUACCUUUGGAUGGGGAAUAACAAUCGGAAACGGUUGCUAAUACCGCAUAAUGCAGCGGCACCUAAUGGUGACAGUUGUUAAAGCGGGGGAGUCGAAAGACCUCGCGUCUAAAGAGGAGCCUGCGGCGGAUUAGCAGUUGGUAAGGUAAUGGCUUACCAAGGCAACGAUCCGUAACCGGCCUGAGAGGGCGGUCGGUCACACUGACACUGACAUACGGGUCAGACUCCUACGGGAGGCAGCAGUCGGGUAAUUUUGGGCAAUGGGCGAAAGCCUGACCCAGCAACGCCGCGUGAAGGAU